rnacentral:tRNA from 1 species
CAAAGUGUAGCUUAAAACAAAGCAUCUGGCUUACACCUAGAAGACUUCAACUCAACUGAACACUUUGA